rnacentral:rRNA from 1 species
GUUGAACGCUGGCGGCAGGCCUAACACAUGCAAGUCGAGCGGAUGAAGGGAGCUUGCUCCUGGAUUCAGCGGCGGACGGGUGAGUAAUGCCUAGGAAUCUGCCUGGUAGUGGGGGAUAACGUCCGGAAACGGGCGCUAAUACCGCAUACGUCCUGAGGGAGAAAGUGGGGGAUCUUCGGACCUCACGCUAUCAGAUGAGCCUAGGUCGGAUUAGCUAGUUGGUGGGGUAAAGGCCUACCAAGGCGACGAUCCGUAACUGGUCUGAGAGGAUGAUCAGUCACACUGGAACUGAGACACGGUCCAGACUCCUACGGGAGGCAGCAGUGGGGAAUAUUGGACAAUGGGCGAAAGCCUGAUCCAGCCAUGCCGCGUGUGUGAAGAAGGUCUUCGGACUGUAAAGCACUUUAAGUUGGGAGGAAGGGCAGUAAGUUAAUACCUUGCUGUUUUGACGUUACCAACAGAAUAAGCACCGGCUAACUUCGUG